UGGGGAAUAUUGCGCAAUGGGCGAAAGCCUGACGCAGCGACGCCGCGUGAGGGACGAAGGUCUUCGGAUUGUAAACCUCUUUCAGCAGGGAUGAAGCGAAAGUGACAGUACCUGCAGAAGAAGCACCGGCUAACUACGUGCCAGCAGCCGCGGUAAUACGUAGGGUGCAAGCGUUGUCCGGAUUUAUUGGGCGUAAAGAGCUCGUAGGCGGUCUGUCGCGUCGGAUGUGAAAACCCAAUGGCUUAACCUUGGGCCUGCAUUCGAUACGGGCAGACUAGAGUGUGGUAGGGGAGACUGGAAUUCCUGGUGUAGCGGUGGAAUGCGCAGAUAUCAGGAGGAACACCGAUGGCGAAGGCAGGUCUCUGGGCCAUAACUGACGCUGAGGAGCGAAAGCGUGGGG
rnacentral:rRNA from 1 species